UUCCUCAGUAGCUCAGUGGUAGAGCGAUUGGCUGUUAACCGAUGGGUCGUAGGUUCAAAUCCUUCCUGAGGAGA
rnacentral:tRNA from 1 species